rnacentral:rRNA from 1 species
ACGCUGGCGGCAGGCCUAACACAUGCAAGUCGAGCGGUAGAGAGAAGCUUGCUUCUCUUGAGAGCGGCGGACGGGUGAGUAAUGCCUAGGAAUCUGCCUGGUAGUGGGGGAUAACGUUCGGAAACGGACGCUAAUACCGCAUACGUCCUACGGGAGAAAGCAGGGGACCUUCGGGCCUUGCGCUAUCAGAUGAGCCUAGGUCGGAUUAGCUAGUUGGUGGGGUAAUGGCUCACCAAGGCGACGAUCCGUAACUGGUCUGAGAGGAUGAUCAGUCACACUGGAACUGAGACACGGUCCAGACUCCUACGGGAGGCAGCAGUGGGGAAUAUUGGACAAUAGGCGAAAGCCUGAUCCAGCCAUGCCGCGUGUGUGAAGAAGGUCUUCGGAUUGUAAAGCACUUUAAGUUGGGAGGAAGGGCAGUUGCCUAAUACGUAACUGUUUUGACGUUACCGACAGAAUAAGCACCGGCUAACUCUGUGCCAGCAGCCGCGGUAAUACAGAGGGUGCAAGCGUUAAUCGGAAUUACUGGGCGUAAAGCGCGCGUAGGUGGUUUGUUAAGUUGGAUGUGAAAUCCCCGGGCUCAACCUGGGAACUGCAUUCAAAACUGACUGACUAGAGUAUGGUAGAGGGUGGUGGAAUUUCCUGUGUAGCGGUGAAAUGCGUAGAUAUAGGAAGGAACACCAGUGGCGAAGGCGACCACCUGGACUAAUACUGACACUGAGGUGCGAAAGCGUGGGGAGCAAAC